UCCAGACUCCUACGGGAGGCAGCAGUGGGGAAUAUUGCACAAUGGGGGAAACCCUGAUGCAGCAACGCCGCGUGAGUGAAGAAGUAUUUCGGUAUGUAAAGCUCUAUCAGCAGGGAAGAAGAUGACGGUACCUGAGUAAGAAGCCCCGGCUAACUACGUGCCAGCAGCCGCGGUAAUACGUAGGGGGCAAGCGUUAUCCGGAUUUACUGGGUGUAAAGGGAGCGCAGACGGUGAGACAAGUCUGAAGUGAAAGCCCGGGGCUCAACCCCGGGACUGCUUUGGAAACUGCCUGACUGGAGUGCUGGAGAGGCAAGCGGAAUUCCUAGUGUAGCGGUGAAAUGCGUAGAUAUUAGGAAGAACACCAGUGGCGAAGGCGGCUUGCUGGACAGUAACUGACGUUGAGGCUCGAAAGCGUGGGGAGCAAACAGGAUUAGAUACCCGAGUACC
rnacentral:rRNA from 1 species